rnacentral:rRNA from 1 species
UACGGAGGAUGCGAGCGUUAUCCGGAUUUAUUGGGUUUAAAGGGUGCGCAGGCGGAAUGUCAAGUCAGCGGUAAAAUGUCCGGGCUCAACCCGGGCCGGCCGUUGAAACUGGGGAUCUUGAGUGGGCGAGAAGUAUGCGGAAUGCGUGGUGUAGCGGUGAAAUGCAUAGAUAUCACGCAGAACUCCGAUUGCGAAGGCAGCAUGCCGGCUCCACACUGACGCUGAGGCACGAAAGCGUGGGGAGCAAACAGG